GAUGAACGCUGGCGGCGUGCCUAAUACAUGCAAGUCGAGCGAACAGACGAGGAGCUUGCUCCUCUGACGUUAGCGGCGGACGGGUGAGUAACACGUGGAUAACCUCCCUAUAAGACUGGGAUAACUUCGGGAAACCGGAGCUAAUACCGGAUAAUAUCUUGAACCGCAUGGUUCAAUAGUGAAAGACGGUUUUGCUGUCACUUCUAGAUGGAUCCCGGCCGCAUUAGCUAGUUGGUAAGGUAACGGCUUACCAAGGCAACGAUGCGUAGCCGACCUGAGAGGGGGAUCGGCCAGACUAGAACUGGGACAGGGUCCAGACGCCUACGGGAGGGAGCAGUAGGGAAUCGUCCGUAAUGGGCGAGAGCCUGACGGAGCAACGCCGCGUGAGAGAUGAAGGUCUUCGGUUCGUAAAACUCUGUUAUUAGGGAAGAACAAAUGUGUAAGUAACUAUGCACGUCUUGACGGUACCUAAUCAGAAAGCCACGGCUAACUACGUG
rnacentral:rRNA from 1 species